GUUUGAGGAGCGCUGGUUAUGGAGAUGUUACUCUGAGAGACUGAAAUGCUCUGCACAAGAUUUUUCUGAUGGCUUAUUAAGAAGACCAGAUUUCAGACUUGGCCUAACUGGCCCUUCAGUCUCACCCUCUCAGAAACCUGGUUUCCUGAAAAAAUCCUACAUUUCUCCUGAAAACUAGACCAACUACACUUCUCCGCUUGCAGUCACUAAGAACAGAUUUCUGAGAAGAACCUUUGCUGCUCACAGAUAUUUUUAACUUACUUAAAACCUCAUGUAUUAAUAUCCGUACAUUCAGUUGUUAAGUUAAUCUUAUUUGUAACUUCUUGCCUUUCCUUAUUUUCUUCAUUCCUUGUAUGAUUGUGUGUGUCCGUAUUUGUUGU